GCCAGCAUGGCAUAGUAGUUUGAGCAUUGGACUACAACUCUGGAGACCAGGGUUCGAGCCCAUGCUUGGCC